GACCGCGUAGCUCAGUUGGCAGAGCAUUGGGGCUAGUAUUCCAAAGGUUGUAGGUUCGAUUCCCACCGUGGUCA
rnacentral:tRNA from 1 species